rnacentral:rRNA from 1 species
AUUGAACGCUGGCGGCAAGCCUAACACAUGCAAGUCGAACGGUAACAGGAAGCAGCUUGCUGCUUUGCUGACGAGUGGCGGACGGGUGAGUAAUGUCUGGGAAACUGCCUGAUGGAGGGGGAUAACUACUGGAAACGGUAGCUAAUACCGCAUAACGUCGCAAGACCAAAGAGGGGGACCUUCGGGCCUCUUGCCAUCGGAUGUGCCCAGAUGGGAUUAGCUAGUAGGUGGGGUAACGGCUCACCUAGGCGACGAUCCCUAGCUGGUCUGAGAGGAUGACCAGCCACACUGGAACUGAGACACGGUCCAGACUCCUACGGGAGGCAGCAGUGGGGAAUAUUGCACAAUGGGCGCAAGCCUGAUGCAGCCAUGCCGCGUGUAUGAAGAAGGCCUUCGGGUUGUAAAGUACUUUCAGCGGGGAGGAAGGGAGUAAAGUUAAUACCUUUGCUCAUUGACGUUACCCGCAGAAGAAGCACCGGCUAACUCCGUG